UCCGUAGGUGAACCUGCGGAAGGAUCAUUAUCGAAUAAACUAGGUGGGUUGUUGCUGUCCCUCUCGGGGGAAUUGUGCACACCUUACCUUUUUUGUUUUUUCCACCUGUGCACACACUGUAGGUCUGAAGGAGGGGAAGGGGGGGUUUUGUAACCUCCCCUGAAACACUUUCAGGUCCUAUGUAUUUUACACAUACACUAUUAAAAGUAACAGAACGAUUCAAUGGGCUUCCAAGCCUAUAAACUAUAUACAACUUUCAGCAACGGAUCUCUUGGCUCUCGCAUCGAUGAAGAACGCAGCGAAAUGCGAUAAGUAAUGUGAAUUGCAGAAUUCAGUGAAUCAUCGAAUCUUUGAACGCACCUUGCGCUCGUUGGUAUUCCGACGAGCAUGCCUGUUUGAGUGUCAUUAAAUUCUCAACCUCAACACUUUUGUGAUUGAUGGCUUGGAUGUGGAGGUUUUUCUGCAGGCUGUUAAAGUCUGCUCCUCUCAAAUGAAUUAGUGGGUGCCCCGCGCAAACCUAUCUAUUGGUGUGAUAAUUAUCUACGCCGUGGAUUAUAGGAUUGCUGUAAAAAGGUGUUUGCCCUGCUUCUAACUGUCCUCUGGACAACUUGAACCAUUUGACCUCAAAUCAGGUAGGACUACCCGCUGAACUUAAGCAUAUCAAUAAGCGGAGGAAAAGAAACUAACAAGGAUUCCCCUAGUAACUGCGAGUGAAGCGGGAAAAGCUCAAAUUUAAAAUCUGGCAGUCUUUGAUUGUCCGAGUUGUAAUCUAGAGAAGCAUUAUCCGCGCUGGACCGUGUACAAGUCUCCUGGAAUGGAGCGUCAUAGAGGGUGAGAAUCCCGUCUUUGACACGGACUGCCAGGGCUUUGUGAUGUGCUCUCAAAGAGUCGAGUUGUUUGGGAAUGCAGCUCAAAAUGGGUGGUAAAUUCCAUCUAAAGCUAAAUAUUGGCGAGAGACCGAUAGCGAACAAGUACCGUGAGGGAAAGAUGAAAAGAACUUUGGAAAGAGAGUUAAACAGUACGUGAAAUUGCUGAAAGGGAAACGCUUGAAGU
rnacentral:sRNA from 1 species